GUCGCCAUGGUCUAACUGGUUAUCAUGUCGGACAUGCACUCCAGAGCCCCUAGUUCGACUCCCGGUGUAGACU